CCUACGGGUGGCAGCAGUGAGGAAUAUUGGUCAAUGGGCGCGAGCCUGAACCAGCCAAGUCGCGUGAGGGAAGACGGUCCUAUGGAUUGUAAACCUCUUUUGUCGGGGAGCAAAAGACGCCACGUGUGGCGUUCCGAGAGUACCCGACGAACAAGCAUCGGCUAACUCCGUGCCAGCAGCCGCGGUAAUACGGAGGAUGCGAGCGUUAUCCGGAUUUAUUGGGUUUAAAGGGUGCGCAGGCGGAAGAUCAAGUCAGCGGUAAAAUUGAGAGGCUCAACCUCUUCGAGCCGUUGAAACUGGUUGUCUUGAGUGAGCGAGAAGUAUGCGGAAUGCGUGGUGUAGCGGUGAAAUGCAUAGAUAUCACGCAGAACUCCGAUUGCGAAGGCAGCAUACCGGCGCGCAACUGACGCUCAUGCACGAAAGUGUGGGUAUCGAACAGGAUUAGAUACCCGAGUAGUC
rnacentral:rRNA from 1 species